UGUCAUUGAUAGACAGGCUCGUUAGUAAAAUUAAAACCUUCUUAACCCACUACGAGUCACCAAUCGUGAUGGCCAGAAAUUUAAUGCACAAUUACACUGCCGCCUCGAAUCUUACGACAGUAUUUCGGCCUAUGUUAAUAGAGAAACACCACUUGACGGUCAAUCUAAGCUUGGUAUCAAUGAUUUUUUGGCCUAUAGAGAACAAACGUUAGAAGAUGAAUCCUUAUCCUUCUCGGGCAGAACGUCAGCAAGGAGAUGUGUCUGUCGAAAUUGACCUAAAAGUGCAGACGGUUUUUUCUUAUCUCAAGGAGACAACUUUUACGCCUUCGACCGGACGCUGCUGACUAAUGUUCAUGAGUACGGGUUUGAAUGAGAACGGGAUGUCUUUGAUGACGACGUGUUCAGUCCGCGAAGUGUUGCAAGCGCUAAAAGGCUUUCGUUCCAACGACGUGGAUGGGUCGGGCGGAAUACAAAACGAAAACUAUAAGAGCGUUUUAAUUCUCGUGUCCUAUUGUACAGCGCUGUUCCACGAAUGGUUCUGCUAAAAAAAAUUGCGAUUCUAAUUGGCACUACCUUAUCAUUAUUACAAGGAAACCCAAUGUAGCGUGGCAUUUGUACAUUUUUCUUACGAAUGCUGUGUUUAUAACGCUCGCAAAGGUAGAGGUCCCUACAUGACUGUACCAGACAUACUAUUGUGCUCAGUCAGAUAACAACGGCUCCGCGAGACAACAAGGCCGUCAACGACAGUGGAGUUUCGAGAUUGAGUGCAAUGGUUUGGGCGAACUUCAAGCCAUUGAGCUGUCUUAAAGAGAAAGUUUAAGACCUUCUCUUUCCUACUGUCGAGAGAUGUACUGAGAGAAUUCGUAUUUCUAGGAGCCUUGUUGAAGUGCAGAUGAGCAGACAGGGUGGCAGCUUGGAGCGACUCUAAAAGCAGCACAUGGUAUCGACGUAAUAUGGCAGGCUUGGCCGUACGAAACCUCAAGCAAAAGAAUCGAAUGAACGCUUCGGCUUGAAAAAGCUCGUUAGAAUAUCACUUCUCAGUACCAAAUAGGCUAACGUACCUUUCGGCCGGCACAUAGCUUGUCUCUGAGUAACUUGAAUGUGUUUUAGUUUCCCUCGCGUUGCUGGAUUUCACCAACAAGGACGCAAAUUUAUAACGAUCGCUUCUUUGGAUCAACGUGGAACAAACGAAAGUAGAUCGUCUAUAUUAUUCAUAGUCCCUGACUUUCAUCACCUACUACCUGCUGAGACGGAUUACAGCCGGACGAAGUGUCUCCUUCAAGAUGAUGGCUAGUACGCUCGUUUUCCCACCUUUUGUAUACUCCGACGUGGACAAGGCCGGAUGUCUA